UAAGUGAAAGCCAAAGUGUGCGGCGCCUAGCUGUUAAUUAGGAGAUUGUAAGAAAUAUUACUCACUUAG
rnacentral:tRNA from 1 species